rnacentral:lncRNA from 1 species
CUGUCAGAAACAGUAAAAAGGAGUAUCAGUACAGAAUACAGAUAUUCAAGAAGCAAUAGGAGAGGGAAAUAUGCUGCAUGACACCACCUACAUAGAAUGUCACUAAAAUGAACAAGUGAGACAGAUCAUGAAAGUAAUAUUAUCCAACAAGAUAGGCAUAUCUAGAAGCAGGUCCCAUGAUGCGUAUUGUUUGCUGAUGACAUUCACAUUGUUUUAUUUCAUGAGACUAGAACAGCUAUAAAUUUUAAGCUACAACUAUGGGAAAGUUACAGAAUCCAAAGAUUUUGUGGCAAGUCAGACUAAAAAGUGUAUAUGGUAUAAGACUUUAGCAAGAUCAGGGAAUAAUGGUAUUGGCAAUCAGAAGGUACCUAAAUCAAAAGUUAAUUGUUUAUUAUCAGGGAGAACAUUCCAAGUAGAAUGCAGGAUGGUUAAAGUGGAGAACUGCUUCUCAGGUAUUGUUUGAUUGUUAAGUACCCAUCAAAUUCAAAGGAAAUAUUUCUCAAAAAAUAGCAAUGGCCAGUGUUCAAAGAAACAGGUUUAAAAAAUUGGCACAGCUACAAUGGAGGAAUAAGAAGCAAAUACAUCCAUGGUAGAUGAUAAGGGAGUUACCAACAAACGCAGCAGUAAGGAUAAAUGAUUUGAUUCACAGUGAUUUAAUUUGUGCUGAAGGUGCUCCAAGGGCAUUUUCCCAUAGAACUUUUGGGCUUUAAAGUGAUAUUCAGGCUUACUUUAUCAUGAUAAUAUACUGCAGUCAUGCUAAUGCAACUUUGUACACACCAAGCCAACCCAACUUUGCCUUGUUCCCACUAUGCAGAGUCUUUCAUCCCUCUUGUUCAGCCACUCCAUUGGAUAUUUUGGGGAUUCCCGUUCAUAUGAUUGGAUCAAUGUUUUAAAGACUCCAGACAAGAAAAGUGGUUGGCUCACUCUGGAACAGCUUAGCCAAAAUGUUCAUGACACAAAAACAGGUGGAAAAACUAUAAAAAAAAUAUUAGAAAAGAAAAAAAAAAAGAGAAACAAAUAUGAUCAGCAAGUAAGAAGUUAUAAAAAUAAUCUAAUAUAAUUUGAGAGCAUAAUACUGCUAACAUAAGGAGUAUGCCAUAAAUAUUAUUUUAAUCUUUUAAAUGGUAAAAGGUCAAGGAGACUAGGAUAUCAACCAAAUUAAAAGCCAAAUGCCGUCCAACCAGUUCAGACAUCUAGUCCAGUUUUAAUAUGACUAAAGGUUUCACACCACCUGAUCACUUUGAAUAACCUCCCUAUUGAGGGCAUGGGACAGUGACUUGACAUGUUUCCUCCAAGUGAAUUUUUCUUCCCUCAUGGUGCCCAUCUCAAAAACUUUGGAACAGAAACAUAAAUCUCACUUCAAUCCUAUCAUCAACAGUAUCCUUCUUACAAAGCCUCACUAGGUAAACAUCAUUCCCCUUUUCUUUUAUAACAAAAAUUUGUUAUUUUGGAACAUUGCACAUGUAUGAAUGGACAAAUCAGAAAAGAUCAAGAGCAAUCUAGCAUAAACUAAAAUACUAAUGGUACAGAACUCCAUACUACCAAUGCCUCGACUCCUCUACCUUGAAUUUAAGCUCAAAUAGUAGAUAGUGUCAAGGAACAUAAGGUGUGGCAAAUAUAGGGAACCUCAAUGCAAAACAUAGGUAUAAAGAAGACUCAAUUAAUUCAGAAGAUAAAGCUGGAACUAUUCACGAUAUGUGAAGAAUAUAAUGAAUUGUAACAGACAAGAUAGGAAUUAAGAACUAGUUUUUUUUUUUUUUCCUUUUGAUAAGUAGGAAUUAGGAACAUAGUGGGACAGACAUUACAGCUAGAGUAUUGAAUAAUAACAAGUAAAUAAGCAAUCAUAUUAUAACUGCAUAAAAACUUAGAGCAAGAAAGAACAUUAUUUUCCUUUUCUAUCCCUGCUGGGACUUGACCUCCCAUUUCUCCACCCCAACCCCUUUCCACUUGAGCCAGUCUUCAAGGACAGCAAGAAAGAACAUUAUUCAGCACCAUGUGUGUGUGUAUGAGUGAAUGAGUGAAUGAGUGAGAGAGAGUGAAUGCGUGUGUAUGUGAGAAAGAGAGAGUUAGUAAAAUAGAUGCAGACUCAGCAAAUUUGCCUUAAAAUGAUUCAACAACGGUAGAAUAUAAUUUGUUGCAUUGUCUUUCAGAUCAAGGAUACUUGAAACUUAC